CCCAACAAUUUUUUUUAAGAUCCGCCACUGUCCUAAAGUGUCUAUUAAACUAGUUGUGGACGACAUGUAAGUUAGACUUGAUCAUGACGGGGAGCUAUUUUAGACUGUUCUAGAAAAUUUGGUAUAAGUAUCUCUGGGGAACCUUUAUGAUUAUAUCGUGUAGCUCAUCAUUUUAAUUUUUGUUUUUUUUAUCAACGCUCAUUUCCUGUAAUUUUCUCCUUAAUAACAGAUUUGGGGGUUGAGAAAAUUAAAACUGGAAGGCACAGAGCCACAUAUAUAUUUAAGGUACUUGAAGUUGAAGAUCUUGUAAAAGCCGAGGAGUCUUUUAAAGCUAGAUGUUUACGCUCAAUGAUGAAAGAAAAGAGAGUUUGAAAGUUCUGUUAUGUGGUGAGAAUAGAAUGAAGAGAGUUAAUCGUCCAUAUUUUUUCAGCUUCACAUGAUGAAGUUUGCUUCACUUAGGGAUUGUGCUUCAUCAAAGGAAGUUUAGCAAUAAAUAUGUAGUGUUAAUUGUAUCGCCCUCUUUGAAUUAUUUAAUUAUUUAAUUGAGUCUAGAAGUUAUUAAGAUGAG
rnacentral:lncRNA from 1 species